rnacentral:lncRNA from 1 species
UUACAGUAACCAUUUAUUUAGUAUUUUACCAACGUUGAAGAAAUUUAUUAAGGAACAACACUUGAUAAUUCGAUAACAAAGGAACAAACAUGAAACAACGACACACGUCUUUCUUUGUUUCAAACAAACAAACAUUAACCUCCCAGACGCUUACUUAGAACGAUCUACAAACAGAUCGAUGAUACAUAGUGAACAUAUCAGGGAGCAAUGUUAAUUACCACGCUUACAUCUGUUGUACAUGGUACACGGCUUGUUAUUAUAUGUCUUACGGGCUACGAGACAAAGGUCAUACUUAGGAGAGUUACAUGUCUGCCGACGCGGAAAGGUCUUCGGCGUUAAGUAUUGUUUUCCAGCUGCAAGAGAAUCCCAAAAUUCAUCAGCUCCCCCAUCUUCAUGAACGAUUGUGAGAUUUCCCCAACCAUUUGUCAUCUUCCCUGAGGUUGCAACGGCAAGGAGCAAGAGGAGGAGGACGAAGACUAUUGACUUCAUUGUCUUCAAUUAUUUGUCCCUUUUUUUUUUUUUUGUAGUGGAGGAGUGAUUUGUUUUUUGUUG